CUGACAGAUCAUGUUCAGAGGAGGAAAAGGAGUUCUUUCCAAUUUCGUUCUGACUUGGUACCAUAUUGCUGUGUCUAGAUCUGCAGCAAAUACCUAAGGAGUAAGUUUGGGGCUUGUAUGCUGUUGAUUUUAGUUAAGUACAUACUAUAUAUCACCUAGAUUGAUUUUAUUUUCUUUUAAUUUCUUUUUUUAAAGGAAAACCAGAUGAAGAUUAAAUCCCUGGAAAGAAAAUGUCAGCAGUCCCUAGAUAUAACCCACUGACCCAUUCCAGUCUCAAUGAAACACCCAAAUCCAGCCUGCCUUUUGGUCAGGAGCAGUGACGCCUGCUAGGCUCAGGAGAACUCUCAAUGAAGAGUUUGAAUGGGUCCCAAUGGAAAAUAAAGUCUACAAGAGGAAAAGCAUCUUGAAAAUCAUUCUCAUGCUCACCAGCUGCUGCUCUGGAGAGAGUCCCAGAGGAUGACUGUGGUCUGGGACCUUGAUGCUGCUUUUCCCAGCUGACUCUGGGCAGAGUUCUCCUUUAAUCUUUUGUAUUUUCUCUGUUUUUAUUUUCCCUCAGAAGUAGCUGCCACAGCUAGAACUGACAUGUGUCUGGUGGCUGUGAGGUCUGGGCUGGUCCCAUUACCACCUUAGCCCAGCUCUUGUUCUAAAAAUUUGCUUACUCAAGUUCAUCAGCAUUUGUCAUCAAAUGAUACAUUAUCCUGACAGCACGUCUAAUUAAUGCUGAAGUAAAAGACUAACAUAGCAAGGGUUGUAAACCUAAGCAAACCCAAUUAGAUCCAGUCAUAACUCAUGCUUCACACUUUAACCCCAAAUCCAAACCUACUAUACAAAAUAGUAGAUAAAAACGGUCGGCUCUGUCAGGCUUUUCAGUACAUGCUUCCAUCAUAUUAAUUCCAUAUCUAGAUAGGACACCUCUCAGGAAGCCAUCAGUUAUCCUCAUGUUGUCCUAGGCCUAUCUCUAACCCCAAUUCUCACUAUAAACACAGUGCUGAGCAUUUUCCCUGAAUUGCAAGUGUUUGUUAAUCCAGUUUUAGUCUUGUAGCUGAAGUAGAUCAUAUAGAUGUGAGAAGGUUUGGGACUAGCAGUGGUCAUGAAUCACCGUGUGAUCACUUCACAGCUCAUAGUAGAGCCAGGCCUCAUGUUAUGUUCGAGUUUGGGGUUAGCAUCAGGCUUUCAUCCACCAUGGAGCCAGGAGACUGUUGCUGCUGCACCAAGGCAGUACUGCUGAGGUAGGUCUGGGGAUGUUGUUACCAGGGCACAUCUUCUGUUCCCAGAUGUAGUCUGACAGCCAUCACUGGCCUAUUCUUGAGUGGGUUUACAGUUAGGUUUUGUAUGUAGGCAAGAUUAGGGUCUGACUGGCAAUGGACAUUUGUCCUGAAUUAUUGUUUGGUUCAUAAAUAACUACUGAGGUAUUUUAAAACCUCUUGUAAAAAGAGUGAGGGAGUCUAUGGUUAUAUGUCCAGCAGGAUUUCCUGAAUGGUUUUGAGAAUGAAGACUUCUUCUAAAAUAUAAAACAUGAGGUUGUGUUUGGUUUUUUUCUCCCCCACUUAAAAUCUUCUUCCCUGCUCAUCACUGGAUGUAUUAGAUGUUGGUCUACAUUCCCUGCAGU
ensembl:lncRNA